GACGAACGCUGGCGGCGUGCUUAACACAUGCAAGUCGAACGGAAAGGCCCUGCUUUUGUGGGGUGCUCGAGUGGCGAACGGGUGAGUAACACGUGAGUAACCUGCCCUUGACUUUGGGAUAACUUCAGGAAACUGGGGCUAAUACCGGAUAGGAGCUCCUGCUGCAUGGUGGGGGUUGGAAAGUUUCGGCGGUUGGGGAUGGACUCGCGGCUUAUCAGCUUGUUGGUGGGGUAGUGGCUUACCAAGGCUUUGACGGGUAGCCGGCCUGAGAGGGUGACCGGCCACAUUGGGCCUGAGAUGCGGCCCAGACUCCUACGGGAGGCAGGAGUGCGAAUAUUGCACAAUGGGCGGAAGCCUGAUGCAGCAACGCCGCGUGCGGGAUGACGGCCUUCGGGUUGUAAACCGCUUUCGCCUGUGACGAAGCGUGAGUGACGGUAAUGGGUAAAGAAGCACCGGCUAACUACGUG
rnacentral:rRNA from 1 species